UGGGGAAUAUUGGACAAUGGGCGCAAGCCCGACCCAGCCAUGCCGCGUGAGUGAUGAAGGCCCCAGGGUUGUAAAGCUCUCUCACCGGUGAAGAUAAUGAUGGUAACCGGAGAAGAAGCUCCGGCUAACUUCGUGCCAGCAGCCGCGGUAAUACGAAGGGGGCUAGCGUCGUUCGGAUUUACUGGGCGUAAAGCGCACGUAGGCGGACUUUUAAGUCAGGGGUGAAAUCCCGGGGCUCAACCCCGGAACUGCCUUUGAUACUGGAAGUCUUGAGUAUGGUAGGGGUGAGUGGGAUUCCGAGUGUAGAGGUGAAAUUCGUAGAUAUUCGGAGGAACACCAGUGGCGAAGGCGGCUCACUGGACCAUUACUGACGCUGAGGUGCGAAAGCGUGGGGAGCAAACAGG
rnacentral:rRNA from 1 species